rnacentral:rRNA from 1 species
UACAGAGACGUCGAGCGUUGUUCGGAUUCAUUGGGCGUAAAGGGUGCGUAGGCGGUGAGGUAAGUUGGAUGUGAAAUCCCAAGGCUUAACCUUGGAAGUGCAUCCAAAACUGCCUUGCUAGAGGACUGGAAGGGAGACUGGAAUUCUCGGUGUAGCGGUGAAAUGCGUAGAUAUCGAGAGGAACACCUGUGGCGAAGGCGGGUCUCUGGACAGUUCCGUGACGCUGAGGCACGAAAGCCAGGGGAGCAAACGGG